rnacentral:lncRNA from 1 species
UCUUUUUGCAUUUCCGAAGAGGAGGACACGAAGGAGGAAUUCCCUCUCUGGGGUCUCAGCUUUGAAAGGGCCAACUCUUCCCGGGAGCCAGUUCUUUUCCCUCGGCACCGGGCGAAGGUAAUUAAACAGCAGGGCGUUGAUUGCUGUUGUGGGGGCUCUCUUUCCACCAUCCCUUUCCCAGCCCCCAGUUCCACGCCCUCUCCUCUGGACUUCUGGAGGCAAGUGGAGCAACUCUGCGGUGGUGGGGGCGAGCUCGACGGCUCCUACUGGACCCCUGAACCCCUCCUAAUCAGUCAACCCCUGUGCCGGGUCCCCGCGCUCGCCCGAGGAGGCACGGCGGGGGAGAGCAGCCUCCGCCCGGCAGCCGCGGGCUCCGAUGCUGCCGCUGCCGCCACUGCACGCGGACGAGGCUGGGAAGGUCCGCGGCAAGGAGCCGUCUGCUCGCCUCCCGCCUACUGUAACAAGGGCAAAUGGUCCACACGGGUGUUGGUGCCAGAAGAAAAGAAUGAUUGAUGGGAAACAGACACCGGGCUGUAGACACUCAUCUUUUUGCUUCAGAUACUGAUUUAUCAGCGAGUCUGGGCAUCCCUUGUGAGCCGUGAACACAGAGGAGGAUCACUCAGGGUUAUCGGCAGUACAACUGAAGACCUACCACUUUGCUAAAUUAUCAUCCCUUCUUGGACAUCUGUUACAACGACAACAAGAAAAAAAAAUCAAAACAAAGCAAAGCAAGACCCAACAAUCCUAGAGAUAAGCUGUGGGACAAAGAAAAAUCUUAAGGCUGGUUUUAAAGGCUGUCACAUGAGUAUGAUAGGCUUCCACCAAAGUCCUCAAUUUACACAACAAAGCACUAUAUUCUAAGACAUCACUGCUCUUGGCUUUGGAACGUGCUUUGGGGCGUCUUUGUGUGCGUAUAUUUUAAAAAUAUAUAUCUAUAUAUACAUAUACAUAUACAGACCAAUAUACAUAAAGAAAGCAAAGUUACAGUCCACCAACUUUGUUUCAGUCCUGGUGA